rnacentral:rRNA from 1 species
UACGUAGGGUGCGAGCGUUGUCCGGAAUUACUGGGCGUAAAGGGCUCGUAGGCGGCCAACUAAGUCAGACGUGAAAUCCCUCGGCUUAACCGGGGAACUGCAUCUGAUACUGGAUGGCUUGAGAUUGGGAGAGGGAUGCGGAAUUCCAGGUGUAGCGGUGAAAUGCGUAGAUAUCUGGAGGAACACCGGUGGCGAAGGCGGCAUCCUGGACCAACACUGACGCUGAGGAGCGAAAGCCAGGGGAGCAAACGGG